rnacentral:RNase_MRP_RNA from 2 species
UCCUCGUUCAAAGGAUCGCAGUCGAAGCACACAAACGGAGCAGACCUCGUGUCUCUCAGCUCUUCAUGGGCUAGUCUAUGCUUUGGGAGAAAGUCCCCGGACGACCUUUACCUUGUAAAGGAACGCGGAAACGCGCCGCCAUAGAAGCACUGCGGCUUCUUUAUUUCUUCUCUUCUACCUAUUCUUGGGCCGGCCUUCGUCGUCGCUUGUACUCGCUUUCUGCGCUUUUGAUUGCCGCUGCUGGGUGAGGGGGAGACCAUAUGGAUGAAGAUAUGAGUCCGAGCUCUCCUGAUCUCAGCUGUGGUAGAGCAUAUGCAACGACUGCGGGGAGGCGGGGAAGUUACCCUCGGUCUGAGUUGGGGGUUCUAGGAGGGGGGAGGCUUUCGUCGAGAGUGAUAGUUAUGCGAUUGCCCUCCUGGGCUGGCCUCACGGUCGGUCUAGGGGUGUAACUCGAUGGGGCUUAUUCUUGAGACGAGG